rnacentral:rRNA from 1 species
GCGUGGCGGCAGCUACACAUGCAGUCGAGCGGAACGAGUUAUCUGAGCCUUCGGGGGACGAUAACGGCGUCGAGCGGCGGACGGGUGAGUAAUGCCUAGGAAAUUGCCCUGAUGUGGGGGAUAACCAUUGGAAACGAUGGCUAAUACCGCAUAAUGCCUACGGGCCAAAGAGGGGGACCUUCGGGCCUCUCGCGUCAGGAUAUGCCUAGGUGGGAUUAGCUAGUUGGUGAGGUAAUGGCUCACCAAGGCGACGAUCCCUAGCUGGUCUGAGAGGAUGAUCAGCCACACUGGAACUGAGACACGGUCCAGACUCCUACGGGAGGCAGCAGUGGGGAAUAUUGCACAAUGGGCGCAAGCCUGAUGCAGCCAUGCCGCGUGUGUGAAGGAGGCCUUCGGGUUGUAAAGCACUUUCAGUCGUGAGGAAGGUAGUGUAGUUAAUAGCUGCAUUAUUUGACGUUAGCGACAGAAGAAGCACCGGCUAACUCCGUGCCAGCAGCCGCGGUAAUACGGAGGGUGCGAGCGUUAAUCGGAAUUACUGGGCGUAAAGCGCAUGCAGGUGGUUUGUUAAGUCAGAUGUGAAAGCCCGGGGCUCAACCUCGGAAUUGCAUUUGAAACUGGCAGACUAGAGUACUGUAGAGGGGGGUAGAAUUUCAGGUGUAGCGGUGAAAUGCGUAGAGAUCUGAAGGAAUACCGGUGGCGAAGGCGGCCCCCUGGACAGAUACUGACACUCAGAUGCGAAAGCGUGGGGAGCAAA